rnacentral:tRNA from 2 species
GCGGGAGUAGCUCAGUGGUAGAGCAUCGCCUUGCCAAGGCGAGGGUCGCGGGUUCAAAUCCCGUCUCCCGCUCCA